rnacentral:misc_RNA from 1 species
CAACCCUCAAGCUCUGCUUGGCAUUGGGUGUCACUUAACCAUGGUGCAUCUUAAAAUCAGUGGCAGUGCCAUUUGACUUCCAAGUGUAGUAAUAUUUCUUGCUUUGGAAGUUUGGAUGUGCUUGCCAUCCAACACCUUAUUCUUUAAU